UACGUAGGGUGCGAGCGUUAAUCGGAAUUACUGGGCGUAAAGCGUGCGCAGGCGGUUUUGUAAGCCAGAUGUGAAAUCCUCGGGCUUAACCUGGGAAUGGCAUUUGGGACUGCAAGGCUGGAGUUUGGCAGAGGAGACUGGAAUUCCCGGUGUAGCAGUGAAAUGCGUAGAUAUCGGGAGGAAUACCGAUGGCGAAGGCAGGUCUCUGGGCUAUAACUGACGCUCAUGCACGAAAGCGUGGGGAGCAAACAGG
rnacentral:rRNA from 1 species